GAUGAACGCUGGCGGCGUGCCUAAUACAUGCAAGUCGAGCGAACAGACGAGAAGCUUGCUUCUCUGAUGUUAGCGGCGGACGGGUGAGUAACACGUGGAUAACCUACCUAUAAGACUGGGAUAACUUCGGGAAACCGGAGCUAAUACCGGAUAAUAUUUUGAACCGCAUGGUUCAAUAGUGAAAGACGGUCUUGCUGUCACUUAUAGAUGGAUCCGCGCUGCAUUAGCUAGUUGGUAAGGUAACGGCUUACCAAGGCAACGAUGCAUAGCCGACCUGAGAGGGUGAUCGGCCACACUGGAACUGAGACACGGUCCAGACUCCUACGGGAGGCAGCAGUAGGGAAUCUUCCGCAAUGGGCGAAAGCCUGACGGAGCAACGCCGCGUGAGUGAUGAAGGUCUUCGGAUCGUAAAACUCUGUUAUUAGGGAAGAACAUAUGUGUAAGUAACUGUGCACAUCUUGACGGUACCUAAUCAGAAAGCCACGGCUAACUACGUG
rnacentral:rRNA from 1 species